rnacentral:rRNA from 1 species
AUUGAACGCUGGCGGCAUGCCUAACACAUGCAAGUCGAACGAGUGGCGGACGGGUGAGUAAUGUCUGGGAAACUGCCUGCUGGAGGGGGAUAACUACUGGAACCGGUGGCUAAUCCCGCUUACCAUCAGAUGUGCCUAGAUGUGCUUAGCUUGUUGGUGGGGUAACGGCUCACCAGGGCCACGAUCCCUAGCUGGUCUGAGAGGAUGACCAGCAACACUGGAACUGAGAAACGGUCCAGACUCCUACGGAGGGCGGAAGAGGGGAAUAUUGGAAAAUGGGGGAAAGCCUGAUGCGGCCAUGCCGCGUGUAUGAAGAGGGCCUUCGGGUUGUAAAGUACUUUGAGCGGGGAGGCGUUACCCGCAGAAGAAGCAACGGCUAACUCCGUGCCAGCAGCCGCGGUAAUAC